rnacentral:rRNA from 1 species
UCCAGAGUUUGAUCAUGGCUCAGAACGAACGCUGGCGGCAGGCUUAACACUUGCAAGUCGAACGCCCCGCAAGGGGAGUGGCAGACGGGGUGAGUAACGCGUGGGAACAUACCCUUUCCUGCGGAAUAGCUCCGGGAAACUGGAAUUAAUACCGCAUACGCCCUACGGGGCAAAGAUUUAUCGGGGAAGGAUUGGCCCGCGUUGGAUUAGCUAGUUGGUGGGGUAAAGGCCUACCAAGGCGACGAUCCAUAGCUGGUCUGAGAGGAUGAUCAGCCACAUUGGGACUGAGAGACGGCCCAAACUCCUACGGGAGGCAGCAGUGGGGAAUAUUGGACAAUGGGCGCAAGCCUGAUCCAGCCAUGCCGCGUGAGUGAUGAAGGCCUUAGGGUUGUAAAGCUCUUUCACCGAUGUAGAUAAUGACGGUAGUCGGAGAAGAAGCCCCGGCUAACUUCGUGCCAGCAGCCGCGGUAAUACGAAGGGGGCUAGCGUUGUUCGGAAUUACUGGGCGUAAAGCGCACGUAGGCGGAUAUUUAAGUCAGGGGUGAAAUCCCGCAGCUCAACUGCGGAACUGCCUUUGAUACUGGGUAUCUUGAGUAUGGAAGAGGUAAGUGGAAUUCCGAGUGUAGAGGUGAAAUUCGUAGAUAUUCGGAGGAACACCAGUGGCGAAGGCGGCUUACUGGUCCAUUACUGACGCUG